GAUUUCUGGUUUUUUAGUAUUUCCAAGACUUAAAUGAGCUGACAUCUGCUCUGAAUCUGGCACAUAGUAGGUGCUAAAGCCAUACCCAUCCCUGUGCUUCAUAUUCACAGAUGCAGACAAAACACUACAAGGCCUGAGCCUGGAGAGCCACUGAGAAAGCACAUCACAGAGGCAAUCCUUCCUUUCAAUGAAUCCCCUUAUUUGUUCCAGGAUCUUAGUCUUCUUGCUGGCUUUCAAGAAGCAAGCUACUACAAAGCAGGUGAAGGAAAUGAAUUCUGCCAAUGGAGUGAGCUUGACACCAGAUUCUUCUCCACUCAAGCAUUCAGACAAGAACACAGCCCAGCCAGCCCUCUGAUUGCAGCCUGAAAGCACGGUGAAGCAGAGAACUCAGCUCACACACACUGUGAGGCAGUAGGUGUGUGGUCUAAAACUGCUACACUUAUAUUAUCUGUUCCCCAGCAAUAGAAAACACACCAAUUGUGAAUCAGUCAUGGAACAUUGUUAGGCUCAGAAGAAAGAGGCAUGGACAUCUCUUAAGCCACAGUUUUCCCAAAUGUGAAAUUGAAACUGUACAACAAAAUCAGACAUACUUCUUCCAUAG
rnacentral:lncRNA from 1 species